rnacentral:sRNA from 1 species
UGAUUCGGACAUAAGCGAAACUGUUGA